rnacentral:lncRNA from 1 species
GGAAACUGUAAUGCAGUGUUCAGCUUAUUACCGCCACAGAGACGGUUGAUUUGUCACCAUGACAACAGAAGCAGGCUCUGAGACGGAGGUGAAGGAGAAAGCUGAGGAGUCAGCCGCUGAGCCCGACCAAUCGGAGAAGGCCACGGAAGAUUCCCAGGAAGUAGCAAACGCUGAAGUAGAGGAGAAGGAAAAAGCAAAGGUGAAGGAAAAAGAGGAGAAGGAAGGCAAAGGAAUAUCUCGAUACCUGCCAACAUGGCUUAAGAAGCAGAAGUCUCAAAGCCAGACCUCCCCAACAAAGGAGGCCCCCCCUACAGAGGAACCUGUUAGCAAGGUGACACAGGAAGAGGAAGGGCCUGCCCCAGAAGUGAAUGGUCACGCUGAGGAAGUAGAAGAGAAGGAGGAAGUCAAGUCUGAGCAAGUGAAGGAAAAAGAAGCAGAAACUCAUUCCAACGCCAGUGCAGACACUGAGGUACUGCUCACGGGUUCACUACACCACUCCAUAGCAUAUGCUUUAAAGUAGAGUCAGAGAACAAGA